CCUACGGGAGGCAGCAGUGAGGAAUAUUGGUCAAUGGACGCAAGUCUGAACCAGCCAUGCCGCGUGCAGGAAGACGGCUCUAUGAGUUGUAAACUGCUUUUGUACGAGGGUAAACGCAGAUACGCGUCUCUGUCUGAAAGUAUCGUACGAAUAAGGAUCGGCUAACUCCGUGCCAGCAGCCGCGGUAAUACGGAGGAUUCAAGCGUUAUCCGGAUUUAUUGGGUUUAAAGGGUGCGUAGGCGGUCGGAUAAGUUAGAGGUGAAAUCCCGAGGCUCAACUUCGGAAUUGCCUCUGAUACUGUUCGUCUAGAGAGUAGUUGCGGUAGGCGGAAUGUAUGGUGUAGCGGUGAAAUGCUUAGAGAUCAUACAGAACACCGAUUGCGAAGGCAGCUUACCAAGCUACUUCUGACGUUGAGGCACGAAAGCGUGGGGAGCAAACAGGAUUAGAUACCCGGGUAGUC
rnacentral:rRNA from 1 species